rnacentral:rRNA from 1 species
UCCUACGGGCGGCUGCAGUCGAGAAUCUUCGGCAAUGGGCGAAAGCCUGACCGAGCGACGCCGCGUGCGGGAUGAAGGCCCUCGGGUUGUAAACCGCUGUCAGUGGGGAGGAAGGCUCUGUGAAGAGCAGGGUUUGACCUAUCCGCAGAGGAAGUCCGGGCUAAGUUCGUGCCAGCAGCCGCGGUAACACGAACCGGACAAACGUUAUUCGGAAUCACUGGGCUUAAAGGGUGCGUAGGCGGUCUGACAAGUUUGGUGUGAAAUCCCUCGGCUCAACCGAGGAAUUGCGCUCAAAACUGUUGGACUAGAGGGAGUUAGAGGUAAGCGGAACUUAGGGUGGAGCGGUGAAAUGCGUUGAUAUCCUAAGGAACACCAGUGGCGAAAGCGGCUUACUGGAGCUCUUCUGACGCUGAGGCACGAAAGCUAGGGGAGCGAACGGGAUUAGAUACCCGAGUAGUC